AUUGAACGCUGGCGGCAUGCCUUACACAUGCAAGUCGAACGGUAACAGGUCUUCGGAUGCUGACGAGUGGCGAACGGGUGAGUAAUACAUCGGAACGUGCCUAGUAGUGGGGGAUAACUACUCGAAAGAGUGGCUAAUACCGCAUGAGAUCUACGGAUGAAAGCAGGGGAUCGCAAGACCUUGUGCUACUAGAGCGGCCGAUGGCAGAUUAGGUAGUUGGUGGGAUAAAAGCUUACCAAGCCGACGAUCUGUAGCUGGUCUGAGAGGACGAUCAGCCACACUGGGACUGAGACACGGCCCAGACUCCUACGGGAGGCAGCAGUGGGGAAUUUUGGACAAUGGGCGCAAGCCUGAUCCAGCAAUGCCGCGUGCAGGAUGAAGGCCUUCGGGUUGUAAACUGCCUUUGUACGGAACGAAAAGCCCUGGGUUAAUACCCUGGGGUCAUGACGGUACCGUAAGAAUAAGCACCGGCUAACUACGUGCCAGCCGCCGCCGCAAUAC
rnacentral:rRNA from 1 species